rnacentral:rRNA from 1 species
UACUGUAGGGGGCUAGCGUUGUCCGGAAUCAUUGGGCGUAAAGAGCGCGUAGGCGGCCAGAUAAGUCCGGUGUGAAAGUCACAGGCUCAACCUGUGAAUGCCGCUGGAAACUGUCUGGCUAGAGUCCGGAAGGGGCGAGUGGAAUUCCUGGUGUAGCGGUGAAAUGCGCAGAUAUCAGGAGGAACACCAAUGGCGAAGGCAGCUCGCUGGGACGGUACUGACGCUGAGGCGCGAAAGCGUGGGGAGCAAACAGG